rnacentral:rRNA from 1 species
AAUCAACGCUGGCGGCGUGCCUCAGACAUGCAAGUCGAACGAUUAAAGCUCUCUUCGGAGAGUGUAUAGAGUGGCGCACGGGUGAGUAACACGUAAGUAAUCUACCCUCGAGUGGGGAAUAACAACCGGAAACGGUUGCUAAUACCGCAUAAUGCAGCGGCACCGCAAGGUGACAGUCGUUAAAGAUUUAUCGCUUGAGGAGGAGCUUGCGGCAGAUUAGCUAGUUGGUAGGGUAACGGCUUACCAAGGCUACGAUCUGUAACCGGUCUAAGAGGACGGUCGGUCACACUGACACUGAAUAACGGGUCAGACUCCUACGGGAGGCAGCAGUCGGGAAUUUUGGGCAAUGGGCGAAAGCCUGACCCAGCAACGCCGCGUGAAGGAUGAAGUAUUUCGGUAUGUAAACUUCGAAAGAAUAGGAAGAAUUAAUGACGGUACUAUUUAUAAGGUCCGGCUAACUACGUG